CAUUCCGAUGUUUAGCACAGAUGUCGAAUACUUUUUACCUUUCGAAAUUCGAAGUUCUUUCACUAUAUUCUGAAUAAUUUUUCAGAUAGAUUGUGUAAAAUCGAGAUAUUUCACCCAUAUCCGCAUAGUUGCAGUGGUUCUUAUUUUACUUUCAUUUAAAUCUACGAAUGGAAACCCUAAUUGCACAUUACUAGCAUAGUUGCACUGGUUCUUAUUACUAGCAUCAUCAGAUCAAUAAAAGGAAUCGAUCUGCCUCUUUCAUCUCCCUUUGGAUCCAUCUCCUCUACGAAGCCAGGAUAAAAUUCUCAAUAGUGGAGACUCAUCCACCGGAGGAAGAAACAGAGAGGAAAAUCAUCUUUCAGGCUUGACCUGGAUGUACAAUGGCUUCAUGAUAAUGAGUUUGGUUUGUAGCGAGAUUAGUGUUGUUUGAACCAAUCUUUAUGCAUCAAAUGAAUCUUAUGAGGCAUGUAAAUUGAAAUUCGUAGAUUUUAAAGGAGCAUCAUUGGACACAGAGUUCGCCAUGCACGGCGGGAAGGAUAAUGUCAAAAUUUUGUUUCUUCAAGGACAGGCAUACAUGGCAUUUAAUGCUUGUGACGCUGUUGUGGAUACCUGAUAUAGCAUCCAUUAACAAAAACUAGCAACAACUAGGAUUUGAAUAAACUAUUGGAAUAAAAUAUUGCAGAAAUACAUGUUCAAAUGGCGAGCUUCAAAACACCCGCAUACAAUGAUGAAACUAAUCGAGUUACAGAUAGCCGGUUAUGGAAUUAUUCCUUGAUAUGGAUUAAUUCCAUAACUGGAAUUAAUUUCAGUUCAUUGAUAUGGUUUUCUACUGUAAUAGUUUUUUCUUGCAGGUUUUUUUCCGGGUAAAGUCAAGUCCGAUAGAUUCUCGGCCAAGAUUAUAUCUUGGGGUUUUCCAUACAUGCUUCUAUUCAGUGUCGUCUAAUAUCUGCGUGAAUUGUUCUCCUAUCAUGGAUCUUCCUGCAUAUUUUCCCAUGAUGCAACUCCCUUGAAGAAAUCCAAGGUACAAUUAUUUCAGGCUUCUACGAAAUACCUUUUAAGCAAUCACUGUCUUGAUUAUAGUUUUUCAGUUCCCGUUUUCAAUUAAAUUUAUAGAGAGUAUGAAAAGGUCCUUCAGUUCCUUUUUUUUGAUGGUAUUAACUUAAAUUUAUAUUUUGAACUCUCUUUAUGUUAUUGAAUUGGUAUAAUAUCUGGAGGAGCCUUGAAAGGGUAUUCAUCCGCAUAGUUAACUUAGGAAAGCUAUCUUUCAUUACACUAAAAAAUCAUCUAUCGUGUUUUGAUAUCCGACCCUAAUUAUCCCCUUUUGUCUCGGUGUUAAUUUGACACUAAAAAAUCCCAUAUUUAUUAAAAGAAAUUAGGUUGAGUUUUAAUUCAUAUCUUCGAAGCAAAGAGAUGAUGAGUAAAGAUGGAUGUAUCCUUUUACUCUUCCAGAAGAAAGAAAUCAUAAGUUCUUUCUUCUCUGUUAUUCUUUUUGCUCUUUAUGCUCUAGGCUUCUGGCCGUUAAAAAUUUGUUACGGAAGGAAUUUGAACCCUAGGUUUUAAAUGUCAAUAUUAUCAAGAAUAAGAUGAGGCGGGGGAGUGAUGGAGAUUUGCCGAUCAGGUAUUUUGAUUUCUUCUUCCAUAUUCUUUCUAAAUUUGUGGGAUUUUAAAUCUUGAAUUUUAAUUAUGGAUUUUGAAUAAUUAUUAAUAUGAAAUAUGAAUUGGGGUUUUAUUUAUAUUACUAAUGGUACAACUCUGGGGGCUUUGUGUUACCAAACAUUGAUUGUCCCUCACAUCACUUGAGAAUGAAUCUAUGAAUGUUGUUGAAAGUUGAACCUAAUGUUACAGGUCCAUCUUAUAUCUUCUUUUUUGUUGUUGUUGAUAGUUAAGUCCAUAUUAUACCUGCAUAUUUGUAUUCAACAACGAUGAUUCACUUGAAUAAACCUAUAUGAAAUUAUUGAAAAUCCAAUAAAUUUAAGUGAAGCAUUAUUGAAUUUGCUUACCUCUAUAAUGAUAUCCCCUAUGAGUAUUUAUCUUACCACCAGCUAAUGAAUCUUGACCAUGUGUAUAUUGUAUAAUCUCUAAUAAUCUCUAAAUUGUGUGUGUAUAUUUUUGAACCCGGACAGUGAUUGUAGUGAGGUGUGAAGAAGUUUACGUGCUUAUUGUUCUAAAAUUUAAAUCUUUAUUCAUAACUGCACGCGAAGUACCCACACGACCCUUAUUUUGUAGUGAAGCAAUUUUGGAGUUAAUGAAUAUCAAAGAAGUUAAUUUUUUUUUAAAGCUCAGCACUCCUGAUUGGGUCUUUAAUACCUUGUUGUCUUGCCACAACUUGCACAUCUCCUUGAUACUCAAUACUUUCUACCCUCCACAACCAAGAAGUAUUUUCGCCAGGAAGAUGAGGCGGUUUUCACUGCGAAUGACACAGAUAUAGGUUCAGUCUGGCUUUAAAUAUCUUGAAAAUUAAUCAUCUAUAUAUGGCUACCAACUACCAGUCUAGGUACUAUUGUUGAUAAUGGUGUGGAGAUCAUGAUGUAGCUAUUCGUGAUUGUUUUUGGAAUCAUUAAUUGCGGUUGAAGAUAAUAAAAUAUAAAGUAGAAGCAAAUCCUAGGGUUUUAUCUGGGCUUUAGCAAGAGAAUCAAUCACUUGAAGAAGAUAAAGAUGUAUCAGUGCCACAUCAAUGACAACGGUGGCGAAGUUUAAAAUAUAAAGGGACUAUAACAUCUGAAUUAUCUCCCGUGACAGAAUUUGAAAUGAAAAGAACUUUCAGGGUGGUGUGAGACUUAUUGAACUCAACAUCGUAUGUAACUUAUCAGGUUGUGAAGGCUUAAUGUGUUAUAAUUUGGUUUGCAACUGUCACAAGUAUCCUAUUGAACGUCUUAAUGCCACAACUAUUUGUCUUUAGUUGCUAAUGUCAAUCCAUACAUAUAGAUUUAGUUUAUGUCUUUACUAAUGUACACAAAUGUUGCACAUAUGUCUCUUUGCACUUCCUUGGUCCUUCUAAUGAAAGUGUGGCGCUGUUUUAGGAAUCCAAUUAAUGUUUUCGUCUAUUUUAGAAAUGCUUCGCUAAUUUUGUGCCUCUUGAAAAUAUUCAAACAUUGUUUUCAUGUUUUUGUCUAAAUUUUAUGUUGGUUAUUGCAUGCAACUUAAUGUGGUGGUUGUCUCUGGGACAAGGAUGAUCGUCGGAUUGGGCGAUCCUGUGUCCUGGAAAGACUGGCAGCGAGAGUAAUUUGGGGCCGUCGAUUUGGGCGAGGUAUAUUUUUGAACAUUGGAUGCCCUGGGUUCCCGAUUUGACCGUGUUUCCUUAGACGAAAAAAAGAAACAUGCUAUAUCUUUUCUCACUGCCACCGUUCUUCUGAAUUAUCUCUUCUAAAACUGCAUGCAAACCCUUUUCUCGAUUAUAUCUUUGAGUUCCCGAGCUUACCAUUCCAUUGAUAGGUUAAUGAACUUUCCCUGAGUAAUUCCAUUGAAGCAAAGCUGUUGGGAUAACACGUUGAUGUUUUAGGUAAUCCUAAUAUUUCUGUAUUCAAUUUAUUUUGUGCUCGAAAUAUCAUUGAGGAAGGCCCAAUCAUAAUAUCACCAUGAGACAGGAUAACACCAUUGAGCUCUGUGAAAUAUGUUGGAGAUGCUACUUUUAUGCCUUGGAAGUCUCCUUCUGAUUAUUGUUUGACAGCAACAAGGAGCUUGGGUAAAUUAGGUUGCACUUGAGUUGGUUAGCUCGACCAAACUUAUCUUAUUAAUUAAAUUUUUUGGUUUGUUUUGUUUUUCUGAGCCUGAUUAUCUAGACAUGCCAGGGAAUCAAUGUUGUGUCACUUUGGGGUCUAAAUUGUUGACAUUUGCCUGGCAAAACAAGGUUCCUAAGUGGGGGUUUAAUCAACUUUCAGGAGCUCUAAUCUCUACUUGCCGAAAGUGAAAUGCUGCUCAAGACUUCGUUUCUGUAGAUGACUGCUUAGGUUUACUGAGUAAGCUGAAGAGCACAUGGUUCUCGAUCAUGUAGUUGUGGGUUCGACUCCCACAUAUGGCAUUGUUAUUAUUCGAGUAGGUGAAAACGAAUAAAAUUAUUUGCGCCAUAUAGCUAAUAUUUCCUUCCUCGCCACUGGUACCUCUUAUGCAAAACCCAAGAAAAUUGUUUUCUCCCUCUCGAUUCACCUUGUUGAGUGAUUUUGUGAUGUAAUGAUUGGAUUUGACUCAUCAGAAGCUAUCAAUGGAAGCCCGGUGUUGAUUAUAUUGUGUCAGAGAACAUGAAUAGGAGCUCUCUCUCCAUCUCGCAAAAAGUUUUGGAUUAGGUUACUCGGCAACAAAGUUUUAAAUUCUUGAACCACCCUCUUCAGGAAUUCAAUGAAGAUUUUGUCUCUUUUGGGUUUCUCAAUUAGCUUAUGAGUGAAUUGCAGUACUGGAAUAAUGACAAGCAGGUUCCCUACCCUAAAAUGAUAUUCAAUGAAUUUGUGCAAGAGCGCUGUCUCCAAAAGUCCGUUAAGAACCUGAACAAAUUAUCUUUGUGGACUCUCUCCUCUUCACAGACCGACCUAAGAAUAAUAUAACAAGGAAUCCAGUAAUCGCAUCCGGCAAUGUAAUUACCAACAUUGGCUUGGAUGGAGCCUGCAGAUUCAACAGUUGACACUUUUGGUUCAAUGUCCAUUCCAACGUAACCUCAUUACUGAACCAUUCUUUGCCUUUUUACUUUCUUAUAUUCGUCGACCUACACAUUUGGCAUUAACUGUAUGUAUCUGCUGUUGUAUACAUAUCCAUUCAUGCUUAAAAUUUUACGUCGUACUAUCUAGAAGAAUUUUGUGGACCAUCUGAUGAUGAUGACGACAUGGAUACACAGAGUAUUGUAAACCAGAAAGCUAAUCUAGACCUAUCUGGCUAGGCAAUAAACAAGUCUCAUUAAAACUGCACUGACUAGGUAAUAAGCAGGACUCAUUAAAACUGCAGUGUAAGCUUCUUCGAUGUUGACAUAAUUAGAUAUCUUCUCCUAAACUAUAUAUAUAUGUGGUACUUAUUGUUACUGAAAAGGUUAUGUUGCAUCUGUAAGCAGAAUACGCACCUUUGUUCCAUCUACUUAUGAUGGAACAGCGUGUCCAAAAAUCAUCUGUCUCCUACAUUUCUAAGAAGUCAACCUUAUAUGAGAUGUGGUAAGCAUGAAUUCCACAAAUAUUGGACAAAUAGUCAUUUACAUACUCUUUAAGUCACCGAUCUCCUUCAUUAUGUUGUUGUUGAUGUUAUUGUUAAGAUGUGGCAGAUAACUACUGAGUGGUACAGAGCAGAUUCGUUGGAGAUAUCACACUUUGCCUUACAAAUGCUGACCUACGAAGUGUAUGCAACAAUCAGUGAAUAUGCGAAAAAUCAAUGAACCACUGAACUGUACAAUGCCCUUGAUCACUUUUAGCUAAGUUACUUGAUUUUUCAUUUUCUUUUAUCUCGCUAUCGCUGAAUAGGAUAUAUCUAUAUAUUAUAUACGGCGUUUUCCGAUUUCAGGUUCGUGCUUGGUGAAAAAGCGUAUAACAUGCUUGGCGAAAAGGCAUAGAUGGUAGUUAGGAAUAUGAUUACCAGAAAGUAAGGGAAUUCAAAACACAUGGGUGGUGGUGGGUUUAGGACCCUCUCUAGAGAAUAUGGUUCCUGGGAUUGGGAUUCCCUUCCCACCAUCCAAAUAUGCUAUAUGUGAUCACACCUAGAAGAUUUACACAAGGCCUUGAAGCCUUAUGAAGAAGAACAGGUAGCAGCUGGAUCCUAAACAAUUUUUUUUUGGCAAACACUUAGAGGUAAUUCUGAUGGCAAGAAAAACCUUUAAAUCUGGCCACUCAACUUAUUCAAAUCUUCAUCUGCUUUCAAACUACAUAACCUUUAAAUAUGGAGUGGGUCAUAUUCUUUGUUAUUUGUGGCUGUUCGAUGCAAGUUUGUUUUUUUACAUAGUUUCUGGAUCCUUUUCCUCAUCUUUCAGAGCACUUUAAACACUAAAGGGUUCUAUGUUUUUUUUUAAAUUCUGUUUGAUUUUUCAAAUUUAGAUUUGUAUUAUUGUUUAUGUAACUGUGUAUAUUGCAACAAUCUCUAAUUGGGUGUAUGGCGCAGACUUAUCUAUUGUACGAGAUUGCUGAAUUUGGUGAUUUAUGUUAUGUGAAAUUAAAGUUUUUCAACUGCUCUGAUUUCCAAUUCAUUGUUGAAAAGCUAUAAUCAUCUCUUCAUACUAAACUUGAUUGGGUAUAUAUCUCAGCACCUGCUGUAGCUUAUUUGGGACGUCUCACAGCUGAUUUAUGGGCGAUGGACGAAGUGAUUUUUCCUCCAAACAUAUUCGUAUUCGAUUGGAUUCUUCUCUUGGAAUUUAAGGGUUCAGAUGUAUUCUGGAGAACACCACAACCCUUAGUAUUUUAUGAAAUGGUAUCUGUUGUCUUAGCUCAAACGGAAGAGAACAUGGUUCUCAACCAUGUAGUUGUGGUCGACUCCUACAGAUGGCAUUAUAUGUGAGUAGGCAGCGCUGUAUACUGCCAAUGGUUUCGUUAUUUGAUUCUAUCGGAGUGGGACUCCAACAUAAGAUUUGGAUGAAUAAUAAACUCUUGGCUAUACUCUUGAGGUUUUGUUCUCUCGGAGUGGGACUCCAACAUAACAUAUGGAUGAAUAAUAAACUCUUGGAUAUACUCUUGAGGUUUUGUUCUUGAAGAAGCACGAUUCUGCCGUCAGCGCAUAUUCAACCAGAUGAAGUUUUGUUACAGAGUUCUUCAUUUAAUUCUGAUAGGUGCACUUUGGUUUCAUUCAGUUUUUGAAGGGAUAGCCAUUGGAAUUGCAGGUAUUCUACUAACCGUUGCAAUAUAUAACUGGACAAGACGUUCACCUACUUAGAAACGAUCCUGGGCUUGAUGGAGGGUGGAUAGUGGUUCCACAUGGUACAUAAGAAAUGCACUAAAAAAGUUGAUUAUGAUGAUGAGUCUUCCUGCAGCAAGUGCAAAAAAGAUUUUGAAGAAGUGCAAUGGCAAUUGUAAUCCACAAAUUAAACCUAGCCGCAAGGGAUGCCACAUCAACUGCUGUAUUUACUGUGAUGGGAGAGACUGCGGAAAAAAACGGCGGAAAGUAGAUUAGAUGCACUGCUGAUGAACAUGUUAAUUACAAGGUACACUGCAACGAGGUAUGCACAAGUUAACAUGGAUAAUUGUUAUGAUUGAAUGGAUGUUCUACGGUGGAAUCAUGUUCACCAAGUUAUAUUGUCUAAUUGGAGGUCAACUAAGCAGAGCAGGCAGAAAGUUGAUUUAACAAGAUCAAGAUGAAACUCUUAUUUUCAAAUUGGUCAUUAGGGAGUGCAAUAUAACCAACCAAUCUGGCAAAUUCACAGUUCUAAAAUUUUUCGAAGUCAGAUAAUUUUGAAUCGAAAGAUUCCGAUGCGGUUGCAGAUAACAAAAUACAACAUUAAUUAGGUACGGUAUGAUACGGAUUUCGUCAUGUCCACAGGAUCCAGACGCAGAAAAUGUUGUGCCACCUAUCAAGGAGAAAGAGGAAAAAGUUAAGAGAGGAAGGAAGAGGAAACCAACAAUCAAAGUUGGAGUAACAGCAUGAAAGCACCAAGGACACCAGUCAAAACCGGAUAACUAUCAGGGAGACGGGCAUCAAGAUGUCAUCCCCAAGAAUCUUCCAAAUAAGAGAUGAAGAUAGUUGAUCCAUGAUAUUAGAUCUUUCUGUUUGCCAAGCUCGACCUUUCGGGGGAGAAACCAAGGCCUUCGGACUGUAAAUUUAAAUUACCUCAGGGAGUUGUAAAUUACCACUGGACCAAGUGUUGUUCUAUGUAUACUUUUAACCUAGGAAUCUACGAUGGCGUAGGACUGAGUGUGCAUAAAAAAUCAAAAUAGGCUAAAUACAUUUGGUGAAUAAGAAUCUUAAAUUUCUAUGUAUACUUUUAACCUACAAAAACUGAUGAUUUCUCUAAGCUUAAACCGUUAUAUGCUUCUUAGA